GUUAAUGUAGCUUAUUCUGUAAAAAGCACGGCACUGAAGAUGCCGAGAAGGGAAAACGAAUCCCCAGAAACA
rnacentral:tRNA from 1 species